rnacentral:rRNA from 1 species
UACGAAGGGGGCGAGCGUUGUUCGGAAUUACUGGGCGUAAAGGGCGCGUAGGCGGCCGAUCAAGUCAGAUGUGAAAGUCCUGGGCUUAACCUGGGGACUGCAUUUGAUACUGAUUGGCUUGAAUGCAGGAGAGGAUAGCGGAAUUCCCAGUGUAGAGGUGAAAUUCGUAGAUAUUGGGAAGAACACCGGUGGCGAAGGCGGCUAUCUGGACUGUGGAUUGACGCUGGAGGCGCGAAAGCGUGGGGAGCAAACAGG